UAAGCGAAUAGUGAAAUAUCACGGCUCAACCGUGGGUACAUUAUUCGAACUCACAAGCUAGAGCACAGUAGAGGUACCUGGAAUUCCCAGUGUAGGAGUGAAAUCCGUAGAUAUUGGGAGGAACACCGAUGGCGUAGGCAGGGUACUGGGCUGUUGCUGACACUAAGGCACGAAAGCGUGGGGAGCGAACGGGAUUAGAUACCCCGGUAGUCCACGCCGUAAACUAUGCUUGCUA
rnacentral:rRNA from 1 species